rnacentral:lncRNA from 1 species
AAAGAGGUGAGGGUACAUGCUCUUCAUAUUCUGCUCCGACUCCCAAGUGCACUCAUCAACAUUGUGCCGGUGCCAUUGAACCUUCACCAUACAUAUUUCUUUAUUUCUCAGCUUCCUGAUCUAAGUAUCAAGAAUAGCUACAGGAAGUUCUUCAUAAGAAAGGUCUCCCUCUACUGUAACUUCCUGCACUGGUAGCACAUGGGAUGGAUCCGGC